rnacentral:rRNA from 1 species
GAUCCUGGCUCAGGAUGAACGCUGGCAGCGUGCUUAACACAUGCAAGUCGAGCGAAGCACUUAGGAAAGAUUCUUCGGAUGAUUUCCUAUUUGACUGAGCGGCGGACGGGUGAGUAACGCGUGGGUAACCUGCCUCAUACAGGGGGAUAACAGUUAGAAAUGACUGCUAAUACCGCAUAAGACCACAGCACCGCAUGGUGCAGGGGUAAAAACUCCGGUGGUAUGAGAUGGACCGCCG